ACCUUCGUGGUGUAGUGGUCAGCACGCUGGGCGCGUUUCCCAGAGGUCCAUGGUUCGAGUCCCGGCGAAGGCG
rfam:Stegodyphus mimosarum contig14911, whole genome shotgun sequence.